rnacentral:rRNA from 1 species
AUGAACGCUGGCGGCGUGCCUAAUCCAUGCCCGUCGAGCGAACAGACGAGGAGCUUGCUCCUCUGACGUUAGCGGCGGACGGGUGAGUAACACGUGGAUAACCUACCUAUAUGACUGGGAUAACUUCGGGAAACCGGAGCUAAUACCGGAUAAUAUAUUGAACCGCAUGGUUCAAUAGUGAAAGACGGUUUUGCUGUCACUUAUAGAUGGAUCCGCGCCGCAUUAGCUAGUUGGUAAGGUAACGGCUUACCAAGGCAACGAUGCGUAGCCGACCUGAGAGGGUGAUCGGCCACACUGGAACUGAGACACGGUCCAGACUCCUACGGGAGGCAGCAGUAGGGAAUCUUCCGCAAUGGGCGAAAGCCUGACGGAGCAACGCCGCGUGAGUGAUGAAGGUCUUCGGAUCGUAAAACUCUGUUAUUAGGGAAGAACAAAUGUGUAAGUAACUAUGCACGUCUUGACGGUACCUAAUCAGAAAGCCACGGCUAACUACGUG